rnacentral:rRNA from 1 species
AUGCAUUGUUCAAUAUGUGGAGCAGCUGAUCAUAACAAAAAGGGACACCAUAAUCAUGUUGAUAAGACUCCAAAUGAAGAAGCUGCUAGGGAAUCUGAAAAAGAGUAUGAUGAUCCAUCAAUACUUGCUAACAUAAUGCCACACAGGGUAUACCCACAGCUGGAUCCAACACAAACACCUGAUUCUAUGGUGUACAAGAUGCAGGAACAGGAGAGGCUCACGUACCCACCCCCUAGGGAAUUUGGCCCCUUGCCUGAGUCUACAUUUAUUGCAAAUGCUAGAGAAGCAAUGCCAGUAGGCAGAGUGACAACAACAAUGGCUAGGGGGGGAGGAGUCAGCAAGCAGCGCCUGCAAAUGGAGAGGAAGCAGCUGAGUCAAGUCAGCAAGCAGCGGCUGCAACAAGACCCAAGAAAAAACAAGCAAGAGGGGGAGGCAGUGUAG